UUUAGGAUCCUAUAAGAUAGAGUAAUCUAUAAGUAACUGAGUGAUCUAAUUGCUUU
rnacentral:tRNA from 1 species